rnacentral:snRNA from 1 species
AUACUUACCUGAUCGUGAAGGGGUUUUCCCAGGUGAGUCUCAUCCCUUGCACUCGGAUGUGCUGACCCCUGCGAUUUCCCCGAAUGUGGGAAACUCUACUGCAUAAUCUGUGGCAGGGGGCCCGUGUUCAUGCUCACCCCUG